GCUUCAGCUGAGGGGGGGGAGUUAGAUUGAGCAUAUGCGGAGUACGACAGUGGAUUUAUACAGAACCAGGACUUGCAUUUAUGUGGAUUAUUUGUUACAGCUCUUUCGUUUCCGUUGGAUUUGCAGCAUUCUGUUUAUUUCACGUUUUACUGUUCGUGUAAUGGCGUCUGGAAAAGGAAAAGGGCGUAUGUGUAGCGGGUCUUUAUGGCGAUGUCUUGUGUUCCUUUUGUGUCUUAGUCACAUCGUAUCUGGCCAGAUCAGAUAUACAAUACCAGAGGAGCAAAAAACUGGCUCUCUCAUUGGAAACGUCGCUCAAGACCUUGGUUUGGAUUUACAAAGGCUUCGUUCUGGCCGUGCCCGUAUUGUGACACGGAAAAGCAUCCAGUACACCGAGCUGAAAGCAGACAAAGGCUUUUUAGUCGUGAAUGAGAGGAUCGACCGAGAGCAGCUCUGUGGAGACACGACACCGUGCAGCUUCACUUUUGAGGUGAUUUUAGAGAACCCCAUGGAACUGCACCGAGUAACAGUGGAAGUCACCGAUAUAAACGACAAUUCUCCCACAUUCAGAAAGGAGGAGAUUGCAUUUGAAAUAAGCGAGACGGCCACUCUGGGAUCCCGUUUUCUUUUACCGAGUGCUGAAGACGCAGAUGUUGGCACGAAUGGUCUUCAGAAAUAUAUUCUUACCACAAAUGAUAUAUUUGCUUUGAAGCAGCAUUCAAGUCCGGAUGGCCGAAAAUAUGCCGAGAUGAUUUUACAAAAACCUUUAGACAGAGAAAGCGAGCCAAAAUUAUCACUGAAGCUCAUUGCUGUCGACGGUGGAAACCCGCAGCGAUCCGGCACAGUAAAUAUAGGUAUAACUGUGCUGGAUGUUAAUGAUAAUCCUCCCGUUUUUAACCAGUCCCUGUACAGGGCUUCUGUCCUGGAGAAUGCGUCAAAAGGCACCUACAUUACGACAGUGAAUGCAAGUGAUGCAGACAGUGGAUCAAACGGGCUUGUCACAUACAGAUUUUCAAACUUGAAAGCGCAGCUGCUUGAUAUUUUUCAUUUAGAUAAAAUGACGGGAGCCAUCACACUCUU